AACCUCCAGAUUGAUUAUCCCUAAGAUCUAAAUAUUGGUCUGACUGGCUAAAAAAGGAGGAAAAGCAAAACUAGAGAGGACUUGGAGUCUUUAAUGACAAAUAAGUUCAUUUCAAACAUUA
rnacentral:snoRNA from 1 species